rnacentral:misc_RNA from 1 species
ACUCCGUAGGUGAACCUGCGGAGGGAUCAUUACAGAGUUCUCGCCCUCGCGGGUAGAUCUCCCACCCACUGUUAUCGUUACUGUGUUGCUUUGGCGGGCCGCCGGGCCCCGCUCGGCCGCCGGCUCCGGCUGGCGCGCGCCUGCCAGAGGCCCAGCAAACUCUGAAUGUUAGUGUCGUCUGAGUACUAUAUAAUAGUUAAAACUUUCAACAACGGAUCUCUUGGUUCUG